GCUUAUCCAGAGUGGUUGAGGGACAGGGCCCUAUGACACCCGGCAACCGGCAAAAAUGCACGGUGCCAAUUCCCCCGCAUAAAUUGCGGAAGAUAAG
rnacentral:ncRNA from 1 species